rnacentral:tRNA from 1 species
GGAAAAGUGGCAGAGUGGUUGAUCGCGACGGUCUCGAAAACCGUUUUACCAGUAAUGGUAACGUCUUGGGUUCUCCAAGUCAGUCUGUAGACUGACGCGGACCCGUCGACCCGCAAAGCGUGUCUUGGGGAAUCCCCCUUUUCCG